GACGGAGGGUGCUAGCGUUGUUCGGAAUGACUGGGCGUAAAGGGCGCGUAGGCGGCUCGUGAAGUCGGGUGUGAAAGCCCGGGGCUCAACCCCGGAACGGCAUCCGAUACUGGCGGGCUUGAGACCGGGAGAGGAGGGUGGAAUACCCCGUGUAGAGGUGAAAUUCGUAGAUAUUGGGUGGAACACCGGUGGCGAAAGCGGCUCUCUGGCCCGGAUCUGACGCUGAGGCGCGAAAGCGUGGGGAGCAAACAGG
rnacentral:rRNA from 1 species